rnacentral:rRNA from 1 species
ACUCCCAACUAGAGACGAAAUUANUUCUAUAUAAAACAAGUACUAUUUGUAAUAAAAAUUACAUAAAUAAAUUCUAAAUUUAUUGCACUAAUCUGCCAAAAUAGCUUAUAAUUAUUAAUAAUAUUCUUUUUCAAAAUAUAAUUAUUUUAAUAUUUGGUCCUUUCGUACUAAAAUAUUAUAAUUAAUUAAAGAUAGAAACCAACCUGGCUUACGCCGGUUUGAACUCAGAUCAUGUAAGAAUUUAAAAGUCGAACAGACUUAAAAUUUGAACGGCUACACCCAAAAUUAUAUCUUAAUCCAACAUCGAGGUCGCAAUCUUUUUUAUCGAUAUGAACUCUCCAAAAAAAUUACGCUGUUAUCCCUAAAGUAACUUAAAUUUUUAAUCAUUAUUAAUGGAUCAAUUAUUCAUAAAUUAAUGGUUUAAAAAAUUAAAAGUUUUUUAAAUUUUAAUAUCACCCCAAUAAAAUAUUUUUAUUUAUUAAAAUUAAAAUAAUCUUUAAAAUCAAAAUAAACAAAAUAUAAAGAUUUAUAGGGUCUUCUCGUCUUUUAAUAAAAUUUUAGCUUUUUGACUAAAAAAUAAAAUUCUAUAAAAAAUUAAAAUGAAACAGUUAAUAUUUCGUCCAACCAUUCAUUCCAGCCUUCAAUUAAAAGACUAAUGAUUAUGCUACCUUUGCACAG